rnacentral:tRNA from 1 species
AUUUAAAUAAUUUAAAAAAAAUUUUGAUUUGUGGAAUCAACUUUGUAUGAAUAUACUUUAAAUU